UGUUACUGCUCCCACUGGAAGGCUAUUCCAGGUAUCUACUACCCUUUCUAUAGCACUGUUACUGCUCCCACUGGAAGGCUAUUCCAGGUAUCUACUACCCUUUCUAUAUCACUGUUACUGCUCCCACUGGAGGCUAUUCCAGGUAUCUACUACCCUUUCUAUAUCACUGUUACUGCUCCCACUGGAAGGCUAUUCCAGGUAUCUACUACCCUUUCU